GUUCCGAUGGCCUAGUGGUUAGAGCGUCCGCCUCUGAUGCUGGAGGUUGUGGGUUUUAUCCUCGGUCGAGUCA